rnacentral:rRNA from 1 species
UUGGCCUUUAGUAACGGCGAGUGAAGCGGCAAAAGCUCAAAUUUGAAAUCUGGUACCUUCGGUGCCCGAGUUGUAAUUUGGAGAGGGCAACUUUGGGGCCGUUCCUUGUCUAUGUUCCUUGGAACAGGACGUCAUAGAGGGUGAGAAUCCCGUGUGGCGAGGAGUGCGGUUCUUUGUAAAGUGCCUUCGAAGAGUCGAGUUGUUUGGGAAUGCAGCUCUAAGUGGGUGGUAAAUUCCAUCUAAAGCUAAAUAUUGGCGAGAGACCGAUAGCGAACAAGUACAGUGAUGGAAAGAUGAAAAGAACUUUGAAAAGAGAGUGAAAAAGUACGUGAAAUUGUUGAAAGGGAAGGGCAUUUGAUCAGACAUGGUGUUUUGUGCCCUCUGCUCCUUGUGGGUAGGGGAAUCUCGCAUUUCACUGGGCCAGCAUCAGUUUUGGUGGCAGGAUAAAUCCAUAGGAAUGUAGCUUGCCUCGGUAAGUAUUAUAGCCUGUGGGAAUACUGCCAGCUGGGACUGAGGACUGCGACGUAAGUCAAGGAUGCUGGCAUAAUGGUUAUAUGCCGCCCGUCUUGA